GGCCAGAAAGCCUCCAAUCACACCUACAGUUAUGGUCCAAGCUGAUGUUGGAACAUUAGAAACGAUGCAGCCCAAGUGAAGCCAACAGGAAAUAGGAGGUAAAACAGAAGAUAGAAUUUGAACAAGAAAGAGUUACAGCUGUUAGAGAAAUAUGCAGACAUUUGCAGUAGCGGUAAGACAAGUUUGCACUGUGUGCAGGAUCUACCUGUUGUUUGUAUAAAGAUCUCUCACAGACUUGCAUCUUCCCUGCUGCCCAAGUAGCCUCUGCCCUUAAUUUCUCUUUCCAUGUUGGUUGCCUGCCACCAGUGCUGUGUAACUUGGCUGCUCCUCAUUUUCUCUGCCUAGAAACAGUAUUUAAUUUUGCAGAGAGUGCCCAAGGACCGCCCAGUCUUUGUGCAUGAAAUGUUGGAGGGGAUUUCAGUUGUUUGACAGGAGACUCUUUGACAUUUAAAAGCAUGAGUACCUAGUGGCAGGCCCAUUGGUCUCCGCCUCAAGCAUGAAACAGGCUAGUAGAUAUCCUCCACUUUGUCCUGGCAUCCCCGGUAAACAUAUUCUAAUAGUCAAGGUGUCAGUCCUAGGAACUAAAAGCAGAGUUUACCUAACAUUGAGCUGUGGCACAUAUUAAAACACGUACUCAGAGCCAGGAGUAAUUUUAUUUGGCAUGAGGCGAUAUGAAAGAGGCAGAGUCCUUUGUACCCUGAAGUCCAGCCUUCCACAUGCUUUCCAGACUCUGCCCCUGGCAGAAGCCUGUUUGAGUAACGGCUCUCUCAGGAAGAGAGAUUCACUCCAAGAGGAGCACUAACUCUGGAGUCACCUGGUCAGCUCUUAAUACGUGCAGGGAUUUCUUGGGAAGCAGAGCAAAAUGGUGACAACACCCUCUCUGUCACCUCUUUACAACACAACUGUAAAUGUUAUUUCCACAAAUACAUCUGGAGCCACAACCAUUCAGGCAGAUUGCUCUUAUGGGUAUGAGCCCUGGGUGGUUGGAGUUGCCGCAGGGAUACCAAGCUUCCUGGUCUUGGUCCUUGUAGUCAUCUUGGUACUGGUCUGUGUUCACCGGGGGACAAACUGCAGCUGGAAACAGACGAGCCAAAGCCGCAACGUGCAAGAACAUGAAUAUGCAUCAUCCCCUCCCAGACCUUCAGAGGCCUUUUAUAUGACCAUAACGGAGGGGACAACAAAUAUCUACGUAAAUGAAGAUCAAGAAAAAGAUCGUAAAACAGACAUCCAAACACAAGCAAAACUCACAAGGAUGAAUAAGCCCAGAAGAGAAGCAGCUGCAGAGGAAUACUUUUAUGAAAAUCGUCUGCCGUAUAACUGGAAGAAAAGCACCAAGUAGUGACUGGGAACAGAAAGAGCAGGCAGAAUUAUUUUCUUGGUCAGCAAGGGUCACAUGGUUGCACUUUAUGGACAAGAGAGCUUUCUUUUUGUGUGUUCACGUGUUUCUACAGAGGACGGGACAAAGAGGCUUUGGAUGGGGAAGGAACCUAUUUGAAUCGAUGCCUUUGAGAUACAGAAGUAAAAUGAGACUCCCCAGGAGUACCCAUACUCAGAGAGAUGGUUUUGCUGUCCUAGUAAAUUUAGAUUAAUUCAAUCUAAUAAAGAACAGCUAAAUCUUUGUAAAGACCCUAGA
ensembl:lncRNA